CAGACUUAGAGAGAAGGCGGCGAGAGUCUCCUAAGCUCCAGAAGCGGAGCUCGCUAUUCACCAAAGCGGUUUGCGCCGCCGCCGUGACGUCAAUGCCAUAGGGCGCCCGUGGGCUUUACGCCGCUGGCGCAAAGGCGUUGCUCUUUGCCUGCUGGGGAGGAGAGGGACAGAAAGAGGCUUAAAGAGACAACAGCGAGCCAUGGAAGGGCUGGGGGGAAAGAGACCUUUGGGUCCCCACCCUUGAAGAGCCCGGACGGGGGGAAAGAAGCUCAGGUCUGUCUAGAUCUGAAAUUGAAAGCGUGUGAAAUCCUUUGCCAAAGGAACUACAGACCAGGAAAUACAUAAGGUUCCCCUCACCCCCGCUUUCUCUACAAAGAAUGCUAAAGCUUGGAAACAAAGAGUCGCCCUGGAAAGUUUGCUUUUGCGCCAUGUCGUCUUCACCAAGGAGCAUCCGACGGGAGGUGCUGCUGACUGGAGUCCUGGCGGACCAGGCCAGAGGACAGCCGUUCCACUAGCCCAGCACAUGUGGGUGGAGACGUCUCCCCUCACACCCUCCCCUCCUACAUCUCCGGCAUCCGCGAUGGUUUAUUAACCAAGAAGAGCCCUGCUUUUUUAAUUCCUCCUCCGUCUUUUCUCCCCUUCCCCUUCCCCUCCCCG
rnacentral:lncRNA from 1 species